rnacentral:misc_RNA from 1 species
UUUCCGUAGGUGAACCUGCGGAAGGAUCAUUACAGAGAACCUGCCCUUUGGGUAGAUCUCCAACCCUCUGUCUACCGAUAUCGUUGCUUUGGCGGGCCCGCCCUCGGGCGAGCAGCUCCGGCCGCUCAGCGCCCGCCAGAGGACCUCCAACUCUUCUCAACUGUCGUCUGAACACAAACACAAUAGUUAAAACUUUCAACAACGGAUCUCUUGGUUCUGGCAUCGAUGAAGAACGCAGC